CACUGCACACCGCUGCACAAGCGAGUUUAAAGCCGGGUGGCACAGGUGGAGAGGAGGUCCUGGGACCCCACGGGGUGCCAUUAGCUGAGUGGCACAGGUGGAGAGGAGGUCCUGGGACCCCACGGGGUGCCAUUAGCUGAGUGGCACAGGUGGAGAGGAGGUCCUGGGACCCCACGGGGUGCCAUUGCUGCAGGCGGGGAAUCACCUCCCACCGCCUUCUCGGGUGGAGGCCUCCAGGCUGUGGACCGGGCAGUGUGCGGUGAGCUGGUGAACACCCACUUCCCGUGUGUGCUUGGCCUUGUGUGUGCCUCACUGUGAAGUGAAGUUUACUGAAAUAAAUGGAAAAAUUUAGAAGUUC